rnacentral:rRNA from 1 species
AUUGAACGCUGGCGGCAUGCCUUACACAUGCAAGUCGAACGGCAGCACGGGGGCAACCCUGGUGGCGAGUGGCGAACGGGUGAGUAAUGCAUCGGAACGUGCCCAGUAGUGGGGGAUAACCAGUCGAAAGGCUGGCUAAUACCGCAUACGACCUACGGGUGAAAGCGGGGGACCGUAAGGCCUCGCGCUAUUGUAGCGGCCGAUGUCUGAUUAGCUAGUUGGCGGGGUAAGAGCCCACCAAGGCGACGAUCAGUAGCUGGUCUGAGAGGACGACCAGCCACACUGGGACUGAGACACGGCCCAGACUCCUACGGGAGGCAGCAGUGGGGAAUUUUGGACAAUGGGCGCAAGCCUGAUCCAGCCAUGCCGCGUGCGGGAAGAAGGCCUUCGGGCUGUAAACCGCUUUUGGCAGGAACGAAACGGCGCAAGCCAAUACCUUGCGCUAAUGACGGUACCUGCAGAAUAAGCACCGGCUAACUACGUGCCAGCCGCCGCCGUAACAC